rnacentral:rRNA from 1 species
UGCAAGUCGAACGGCAGUCGCAAGACUGUAGUGGCGCACGGGUGAGUAACACGUAGCUUACCUCCCUCUCAGCGCGGGAUAACGACUCGAAAGAGUUGCUAAUACCGCAUAAGCUCACGGGUUCCAGAGACUUGUGAGAAAAGGCUUCGGUCACUGAGAGACGGGGCUGCGGCCCAUCAGCUAGUUGGCGUGGUAAUGGCACACCAAGGCGACGACGGGUAGGGGACCUGAGAGGGUGACCCCCCACACUGGGACUGAGACACGGCCCAGACUCCUACGGGAGGCAGCAGUGAGGAAUAUUGCACAAUGGGCGCAAGCCUGAUGCAGCGACGCCGCGUGGGUGAUGAAGGUCUUCGGAUCGUAAAGCCCUUUUCUGCGUGACGAGACAGGACGGUAGCGCAGGAAUAAGUCUCGGCUAACUACGUGCCAGCAGCCGCGGUAAAACGUAGGAGACAAACGUUAUCCGGAGUUACUGGGCGUAAAGGGCGUGUAGGCGGUAUGCUAAGUCUGGCGUGAAAGCUCUCGGCUAAACCGGGAGAGGUCGUUGGAUACUGGCAAACUAGAGGAUGGUAGAGGCGUGUGGAAUUCCGGGUGUAGUGGUGAAAUGCGUAGAGAUCCGGAGGAACACCAGUGGCGAAGGCGACACGCUGGGCCAUACCUGACGCUAAAGCGCGACAGCAUGGGGAGCAAACGGGAUUAGAAACCCCGGUAGUCCAUGCCGUAAACGAUGCCAGCUAGAUGUUCACGCCUCGCAAGAGGCUGGGGUAUCGAAGCUAACGCGAUAAGCUGGCCGCCUGGGGAGUACGGUCGCAAGGCUAAAACUCAAAGGAAUUGACGGGGGCCCGCACAAGCAGCGGAGCGUGUGGUUUAAUUCGAGGCUACACGAAGAACCUUACCUGGGUUUGACAUAGCGGUGGUAGUGAACUGAAAAGG